AUUGAACGCUGGCGGCAGGCCUAACACAUGCAAGUCGAGCGGAUGAAGGGAGCUUGCUCCUGGAUUCAACGGCGGACGGGUGAGUAAUGCCUAGGAAUCUGCCUGGUAGUGGGGGAUAACGUCCGGAAACGGGCGCUAAUACCGCAUACGUCCUGAGGGAGAAAGUGGGGGAUCUUCGGACCUCACGCUAUCAGAUGAGCCUAGGUCGGAUUAGCUAGUUGGUGGGGUAAAGGCCUACCAAGGCGACGAUCCGUAACUGGUCUGAGAGGAUGAUCAGUCACACUGGAACUGAGACACGGUCCAGACUCCUACGGGAGGCAGCAGUGGGGAAUAUUGGACAAUGGGCGAAAGCCUGAUCCAGCCAUGCCGCGUGUGUGAAGAAGGUCUUCGGAUUCUAAAGCACUUUAAGUUGGGAGGAAGGGCAGUAAGUUAAUACCUUGCUGUUUUGACGUUACCAACAGAAUAAGCACCGGCUAACUUCGUG
rnacentral:rRNA from 1 species